rnacentral:rRNA from 1 species
AUACGGAAGGUCCAAGCGUUAAUCGGAAUUACUGGGCGUAAAGCGCGCGUAGGUGGUUUAUUAAGUUGGAUGUGAAAUCCCCGGGCUCAACCCUGGGAACUGCAUCCAAAACUGAUUCACUAGAGUACGAUAGAGGGAGGUAGAAUUCACAGUGUAGCGGUGGAAUGCGUAGAUAUUGUGAAGAAUACCAAUGGCGAAGGCAGCCUCCUGGAUCUGUACUGACACUGAGGUGCGAAAGCGUGGGUAGCGAACAGGAUUAGAUACCCUGGUAGUCCACACCGUAAACGCUGUCUACUAGCUGUUUGUGAAUUUAAUUCGUGAGUAGCGAAGCUAACGCGAUAAGUAGACCGCCUGGGGGAGUACGGCCGCAAGGUUAAAACUCAAAAUGAAUUGACGGGGGCCCGCACAAGCGGUGGAGCAUGUGGUUUAAUUCGAUGCAACGCGAAGAACCUUACCUACUCUUGACAUACUAGAAACUUUUCAGUAGAUGAAUU